rnacentral:rRNA from 1 species
GCAGUGAGGAAUAUUGGUCAAUAGCCUAACGGCUGAACCAGCAACUUGGAAGAACGUAGGCAAUAGCCCGGUGAGAGCCACUGUAAUGAGAUAUCAUUAUAGAGAGUAACUCCGUUACAUAAAGUUCUAGGUAAGUCUAUGAUUAUGACAUAAUUUAUCUAUAAGUCUUGGCUAAGUCACGUGCCAGCAGUCGCGGUAAUACGUGGAAGACAAGUGUUAUUCAUCUUUAACAGGUUUAAAGGGUACCCAGACAGUUAAUUAAGCCUACAUAGGUACUAAUUAUACUAGAGUUUUAUAGGAGAAGGUUAGAACGGUGAGUGUAGAGAUGAAAUAUGUUCAUACCACCUUGAGACUAACAACGGCGAAGGCAGCCUUCUAUGUACAAACUGACGUUAAAGGACGAAGGCUCAAACAAAAGAACAGGAUUAGGUACCCCAGUAUUGUGAGCAGACAAUGAUGAGUGUCAUAGGUAAGUAUAUAUAAAAAAGUUAUAUAAUUUUAUUUACGUAUAAAUGAAAGUGUAAGCACUCCACCUCAAGAGUAACAUGGCAACAUAGGAACUGAAAUCAUUAGACCGUUUCUGAAACCAGUAGUGAAGUAUGUUGUUUAAUUUGAUGAUCCACAAAGAACCUUACCACAAUUUGAAUGGUUAAAUGUUAUAUUUAACACACAGGAGUUGCACGGCUGUCUUCAGUUGAUAUCGUGAGAUUUUGGUUAGUUCCAUUUAAUCAACGUAAACCCUUACUUUAUUUUCUAUAUAAAGUAGUUCACCGUUAUAUUGGUAAGAUAAAAGGGACUAAGACAAGUCACCAUGACCUUAAUAUU